rnacentral:rRNA from 1 species
AGAGUUUGAUCAUGGCUCAGGACGAACGCUGGCGGCGUGCUUAACACAUGCAAGUCGAACGGUAAGGCCCUUUCGGGGGUACACGAGUGGCGAACGGGUGAGUAACACGUGGGUGAUCUGCCCUGCACUUUGGGAUAAGCCUGGGAAACUGGGUCUAAUACCGAAUACACCUUGCUGGUCGCAUGGCCUGGUGGGGGAAAGCUUUUGCGGUGUGGGAUGGGCCCGCGGCCUAUCAGCUUGUUGGUGGGGUGAUGGCCUACCAAGGCGACGACGGGUAGCCGGCCUGAGAGGGUGUCCGGCCACACUGGGACUGAGAUACGGCCCAGACUCCUACGGGAGGCAGCAGUGGGGAAUAUUGCACAAUGGGCGCAAGCCUGAUGCAGCGACGCCGCGUGAGGGAUGACGGCCUCCGGGUUGUAAACCUCUUUCAGUACCGACGAAGCGGAAGUGACGGUAGGUACAGAAGAAGCACCGGCCAACUACGUGCCAGCCGCCGCGGUAAUUC